UACAGAGGUGGCAAGCGUUGUUCGGAAUUACUGGGCGUAAAGAGCUCGUAGGCGGUUUGUCGCGUCGGCCGUGAAAUCUCCACGCUUAACGUGGAGCGUGCGGUCGAUACGGGCAGACUUGAGUUCGGUAGGGGAGACUGGAAUUCCUGGUGUAGCGGUGAAAUGCGCAGAUAUCAGGAGGAACACCGGUGGCGAAGGCGGGUCUCUGGGCCGAUACUGACGCUGAGGAGCGAAAGCGUGGGGAGCGAACAGG
rnacentral:rRNA from 1 species